rnacentral:rRNA from 1 species
AAUGAACGUUGGCGGCGUGGAUUAGGCAUGCAAGUCGUACGCUUUAUGUAGCAAUACAUGAAGAGUGGCGUAAGGGAGAGUAAUGCAUGGUUAGCUACCCUCGGGACUGGGAUAGCGGCGGGAAACUGCCGGUAAUACCAGAUGACAUCUUCGGAUCAAACGUGUAAAUCGGCCCGAGGAGGUGACCAUGUCCUAUCAGCUAGUUGGCGGUGUAACGGACCACCAAGGCUAAGACGGGUAUGGGGCGUGAGAGCGUGCCCCCACUCACUGGGACUGAGACACGGCCCAGACACCUACGGGUGGCUGCAGUCGAGAAUCUUCGGCAAUGGACGCAAGCCUGACCGAGCGACGCCGCGUGCGGGAUGAAGGCCUUCGGGUUGUAAACCGCUGUCGUAGGGGAGGAAGGCUCCGUGCAGAACGGAGUUUAACCGAUCCUAGGAGGAAGGGCCGGCUAAUCUCGUGCCAGCAGCCGCCGUAAGAC